CCUACGGGGGGCAGCAGUGGGGAAUAUUGCACAAUGGGGGAAACCCUGAUGCAGCGACGCCGCGUGAGUGAAGAAGUAUCUCGGUACGUAAAGCUCUAUCAGCAGGGAAGAAAAUGACGGUACCUGACUAAGAAUCCCCGGCUAAAUACGUGCCAGCAGCCGCGGUAAUACGUAGGGGGCAAGCGGUAUCUGGAUUUACUGGGUGUAAAGGGAGCGUAGGCGGCAGCACAAGUCUGGAGUGAAAUCCCGGGGCUGAACCCCGGAACUGCUUUGGAAACUGUGCGGCUGGAGUGCAGGAGGGGUAGGCGGAAUUCCUAGGGUAGCGGUGAAAUGCGUAGAUAUUAGGAGGAACACCGGUGGCGAAGGCGGCUUACUGGACUGUAACUGACGUUGAGGCUCGAAAGCGUGGGGAGCAAACAGGAUUAGAUACCCUUGUAGUC
rnacentral:rRNA from 1 species